rnacentral:lncRNA from 1 species
ACCUGUGACCAUCGGCGUAUAUGUAAACUCCUUUCCCGUAUUUUCUAGAUUUCCUCCAACCCCCAUCAUACAUAUCACCGUUUGGGUAUAAAUAUACACCUUGGCCAUGUCUUUUCCCGUGUUUCGUUUCUCCUUUAUAUGAUUUUACCGUCACAAAAUCAUCGUUCACGCUAGGCUGAUCUUUACUUUGUGGAUUUCCCAUCUUGUGUUGCGUUGCCACAGGAUAUUGUUUUGACUUUGAC